UUACAGAUUCUUCUCAAAAUAUAUUGGCUACUUGAGAGAUGUCAUUACACUCCUGUGAUUUAUACAGAAGCAUACUGUCUUGUCCACUCUGACUGGCGGGCUUCCCCAUCAAGAAGUCUCUUAGUGAAACUCCAUGCUGCUCAGGUGGAUUCAAGAUUCAGAGAGUUAAUGUUUUUCAUGAUGGAGUUCUAUCCAGAGAAGUGGAUGUGGAUCACACUACAUUGCAUUGUUUUUCCUGGAAGUUUCUUUCUCUUGUUUUUCUUUUCCUUUUAAGCCA